rnacentral:tRNA from 1 species
AGAGGAAACUGUGGAGUUACUGCUAAUAAUUUCGUGUCAAUUUAAUUUGACUUUCUCUU